GACGAACGCUGGCGGCGUGCUUAACACAUGCAAGUCGAACGGAAAGGCCCUGCUUUUGUGGGGUGCUCGAGUGGCGAACGGGUGAGUAACACGUGAGUAACCUGCCUUUGACUUUGGGAUAACUUCAGGAAACUGGGGCUAAUACCGGAUAGGAGCUCCUGCUGCAUGGUGGGUGUUGGAACGUUUCGGUGGUUGGGGAUGGAUUCGCGGCUUAUCAGCUUGUUGGUGGGGUAGGGGCUAACCAAGCCUUUGACGGGUAGCCGGCCUGAGAGGGUGACCGGCCACAUGGGGACUGAGAUACGGCCCAGACUCCAACGGGAGGCAGCGGUGGAGAAUAUUACACAAUGGGCGGAAGCCUGAUGCGGCAACGCCGCGUGCGGGAAGACGGCCUUCGGGUUGUAAACCGCUGUCGCCUGUGACGAAGCGUGAGUGACGGUAAUGGGAAAAGAAGCACCGGCUAACUACGUG
rnacentral:rRNA from 1 species